UAAGUACUCCCUCCGUCCGGAAAUACUUGUCCUAGGUCUAGAUACAAUCAUUUCUAGGACAAGUAUUUCCGGACGGAGGGAGUACGAA
rfam:Triticum aestivum genome assembly, contig: Triticum_aestivum_CS42_TGACv1_scaffold_320276_4BL